GAUGAACGCUGACAGAAUGCUUAACACAUGCAAGUCUACUUGAACUUCGGUUUGGGUGGCGGACGGGUGAGUAACGCGUAAAGAACUUGCCUCACAGUUAGGGACAACAUUUGGAAACGAAUGCUAAUACCUGAUAUUAUGAUUUUAGGGCAUCCUAGGAUUAUGAAAGCUAUAUGUGCUGUGAGAGAGCUUUGCGUCCCAUUAGCUAGUUGGAGAGGUAACGGCUCACCAAGGCGAUGAUGGGUAGCCGGCCUGAGAGGGUGAACGGCCACAAGGGGACUGAGACACGGCCCUUACUCCUACGGGAGGCAGCAGUGGAGAAUAUUGGACAGUGGACCAAAAGUCUGAUCCAGCAAUUCUGUGUGCACGAUGACGUUUUUCGGAAUGUAAAGUGCUUUCAGUUGGGAAGAAAAAAAUGACGGUACCAACAGAAGAAGUGACGGCUAAAUACGUG
rnacentral:rRNA from 1 species